ACAUUGGUGGUUCAGUGGUAGAACUCUCACCUUCCAGGCAGGAAACCUGGAUUCAAUUUUUGGCCAGUGCG
rnacentral:tRNA from 1 species